AGAAAUCUACAAGACUGGGAGCUGGAUGAGUUUCAAAGGUUAAUGGAGUUUCUCUACAGGGAAAUCAGGUCUCACUCCAAUAAUGACUCAUGGAGAUGGGCGCUGAGAGUGAUAGUUUAUUCUUAGUCAAAUCUCUUUACUAGAGUUUGUGGGUGAGAGAGGAGACACACUUCCCACAUUCAUUGACUUGGAUUCCUAGGGCGAAUAAGAAGGAGUUUUUUUGCCAGGCUGGCAACAAGGGGAGCAAUUCUGACAACUGAGAAUCUGAAGAAGAGAAAUAUUACUUAUCUAGGUGGUGUUAUAUGUGUAAAUGUUCGGGCAAAGAAGUUAAUCAUAUUUUGGUGCAUUGUAAGGUGGUGUCAGGUUUGUGGAGGGUGAUCUUGAAUUGUUUUGGCAUACAGUGGGUGAUGCCAUGUUUUUUUUGAUAAUGGUAACUAGUGGGUGAUGCCAUGCAUAGCUGUGCUGGCAGACGUAGGAGUAGAAGA
rnacentral:lncRNA from 1 species